rnacentral:tRNA from 1 species
GGGGACAUAGCUCAGUGGUACAGCACCUGUAUGGCAAACACAAGGUCCUGAGUUCAAUUUCCAGUAACCCCC